GGGUUAUACUGUCUCCUUUCUCUAAUCAGUGAAACUGAUCUCUCCGUGAAGAAGCGGGGAUACUCCUAUAAGACGAAAAGACCCCAUGGAGCUUCAAACCCAACUACACCCUUAACUACCACAACCGCACAACCUCUUAGGGCCCUGUAUAGUUGGUUUUAGGUUGGGGCGACCACGGAGUACAACCAAACCUCCGCAAUGGACGGGACCACUCCCUUAUCU
rnacentral:rRNA from 1 species